GGAAUCUAAUCUAACCAAGUAUUGCAAUGUUUAAUCAUAUAUAUGCUUAAAUCAAUGGCAAGAGUAUCAUAUAUUUUAUUCGGCUAAUAUUUUAGUAGACUUGUAUAUGUAUUAUAGUAUCAAUCAUGUGGAUCUUGGAGAUGGUAUUGAAUGAAUCACGUGGAAGAGCUCAGAUUUUAUGUCGAGUUAUACAUAUCAAGGAUUUUUAUAUAUAUUCUAUUCGCUAGUCCCGUUUAUAAUUGGUUUCUCCACAAUCAAAAGAGCAUUAUUAAAGAGGAAGGUUUUUCUGUUAUCUCUUCUUUCUCCAUUUUUGAUACUUAUAACAAAACUAUUUUUAAUAUAUAUUUUGCAUGUUGUCAGAAACUUGAAGGUGAAGAGAAGAGGGAUGGUCUUGUUUU